CACCAAGUGCUACAAAAGAUUUAUUUACAAGCCCAUAAGGUACAAACGUUUUGGGUUAUCCCCUUUAUCAAUGCAUGUCCAAAGGAGAUAACCCAAAAAGUUUGUAUUUUGAAUUUUUCUGGUUACUGCAGUAAACCUAACCUAUAUACUAGAGCGAGAAGAAACAGUGGUACGUCAGGUUGGAGAAGAGCAGGAGACCGCCAUGGGAG